UGAAUGGACAAUAUCCUCCGCCUUAAAACUUCAUGCAACACAAGACAACAAAAAGACGAGGAGCACACGCCAGCCCUCAGUCAGCAGCCCAUUCAAAGGUCAAACAGCAACGAAGAAAAACAUAGCAGCAUUGUUAGGGAGAGGAACAAUGAUUUCCAUCUGCAUGAUGCUCGUCACUCUGGCAACAACAGUUCUGGCAAAAGGAUCUAUCGAAUGUAAUUUAUCCGAGCAUACUGAAACUAAGGUGUGUGUUGGAGCAGUGGGAGAGCUGUUGAUUUUCCAUCUGCCAAACACAGCAAAUACAUAUCUUAGGUUGAAAAAGGAUAAUGAAUAUUUGAUUUUAAAAAUACAAAACAAUCGGCUUGUAUUUAAACGUGAAGGAUUUGUGAAUCAGUAUGAACUCUUCAUGAAUGGAACAAUCAAACUGGGUAAUGCGAUGAAGAACCACUCUGGAGAUUACAAUUUGGAAGAAUACGGAUCUGAUGGUUCUUUCUUGAAAAAGUUGAAAGUGCAUCUAGAGG